AUACUUACCUGACGCUGGGAUAUCUGUGAUCAUCAUGGCAGACUCCCCGAGGUGAGACUCGAUCAUUGCACUGCGAUCGAGUUGACCCUUGCGAAUAUCCCUAAUGUGGAUAUCUCGGGCGUAUUAUUUUUGGUAGCUGGGACUGCGUACGCGCUAUCCCGA